rnacentral:misc_RNA from 1 species
GGCUCACUAUCGGAUCGUUUUAGAAACAUCAGUGGCCAACAGUCGUCAGGAUUGUUGAGCUGCAUUGGCGGGAUUUCGCCGUCUACGUUUCUCUUUCUUCGCGGACGAACACGCGCUGGGGCUGCAACCUUGCAGAUCCCUGGUCCUUGACUGGAUAUGCGUUAGGGGCUUGUAGCUCAGUUGGUUAGAGCGCGCGCUUGAUAAGCGUGAGGUCGGAAGUUCAAGUCUUCCCAGGCCCACCACACUCAUCGAGUGAGCAUUCGUCUUCUGGUUACGGGGCCAUAGCUCAGCUGGGAGAGCGCGUGCUUUGCAAGCAUGAGGUCGUCGGUUCGAUCCCGUCUGGCUCCACCAGAUGGCUGAUUGCCGGCGCUGUUUGCACCUAAUCGUCCGCGAAACAUCACUUCGCACUUACUAGUCCGGAUGGACAGUAAGCUGCGUGAUUUCUGACAUCGUAAAGAGGAGAUCGAUCCGAGUUGGAUCGUGCAAAAGAUUUUUGCGCGAUACUUCAUUAUCUCCGGAUCAUUUCGGCGCUCGUGCGUCUUUCAAGGUAGCUCACAAGGCUGCGUUCGAGAGACAUGCGAGUUGUAAAUGAUCCUUUUAGCGAAGCUUGACCGCCUCGCUAUCGGAACGAUCUUACGAAGCAAGCUGGUCUUUCUAAUCAUUGUCCGGCUGCAGAUAGCGUUCAUCGAGGGCGCGUGCCGCAGAGAUUUCGAUCUCUUGGCAAUUCUGCAGACAACAUUCUGCCGAGUGUGUGGACAUUGAUAAUGAGAGCAAUCAAGUGCCUUAAGGGUGUUCGGUGGAUGCCUUGGCGCUGAGAGGCGAUGAAGGACGUGCUACGCUGCGAUAAGC